rnacentral:rRNA from 1 species
UACGUAGGUGGCAAGCGUUGUUCGGAAUUAUUGGGCGUAAAGGGCGCGUAGGCGGUCGUGACAAGUCACUUGUGAAAUCUCCGGGCUUAACUCGGAACGGUCAAGUGAUACUGUCGGACUAGAGUACAGAAGGGGCAACUGGAAUUCUCGGUGUAGCGGUGAAAUGCGUAGAUAUCGAGAGGAACACCUGCGGCGAAGGCGGGUUGCUGGGCUGAUACUGACGCUGAGGCGCGAAAGCCAGGGGAGCGAACGGG